ensembl:ncRNA F19G12.13 ncRNA
UGCAUGGCAUCUGAGCUGGCUGAGCAGCAGAGCAGGACUGCGAGCAUGAUUGGGUGCACGCUGUUGCGCAUUGCUGAAUGGGUUGCAGUUGUUGAAUGCAUUGUUGUUGGCAUGAUUGUUGGCAUUGUGGUUCACAUUGAGCAGAUUGAGACACUGAAGCUUCUAGAAUGACAGCCACAACUUGUGGAGCAACAACUGGAAAUUGGCAUGCUG